UACGUAGGGGGCAAGCGUUGUCCGGAUUUAUUGGGCGUAAAGAGCUCGUAGGUGGUUCGGUAAGUCGGAUGUGAAAUUUCCAGGCUCAACCUGGAGGGGUCAUUCGAUACUGCCGUGACUAGAGGUCGGUAGGGGAGUGUGGAAUUCCUGGUGGAGCGGUGAAAUGCGCAGAUAUCAGGAGGAACACCCGUAGCGAAGGCGGCACUCUGGGCCGAUACUGACACUGAGGAGCGAAAGCGUGGGGAGCGAACAGG
rnacentral:rRNA from 1 species